AACGAAGGGGGCUAGCGUUGCUCGGAAUCACUGGGCGUAAAGCGCACGUAGGCGGUUUGCUAAGUCAGGGGUGAAAUCCUGGAGCUCAACUCCAGAACUGCCUUUGAUACUGGCGGACUUGAGUCCGGGAGAGGUGAGUGGAACUGCGAGUGUAGAGGUGAAAUUCGUAGAUAUUCGCAAGAACACCAGUGGCGAAGGCGGCUCACUGGCCCGGUACUGACGCUGAGGUGCGAAAGCGUGGGGAGCAAACAGG
rnacentral:rRNA from 1 species